rnacentral:rRNA from 1 species
UACGUAGGGAGCAAGCGUUGUCCGGAAUCAUUGGGCGUAAAGCGCGCGUAGGCGGCCCUGUAAGUCCGUUGUGAAAGUCAAAGGCUCAACCUUUGAAAGCCGAUGGAUACUGCAGGGCUAGAGUCCGGAAGAGGAGAGUGGAAUUCCUGGUGUAGCGGUGAAAUGCGCAGAUAUCAGGAAGAACACCCGUGGCUAAGGCGGCUCUCUAGUACGGUACUGACGCUGAGACGCGAAAGCGUGGGGAGCGAACAGG